rnacentral:rRNA from 1 species
AAUAGAUACCCAGGUAGUCCAUGCCGUAAACGUUGGGAACUAGGUGUAGGGCCUGUUCCACGGGUUCUGUGUCGUAGCUAACGCAUUAAGUUCCCCGCCUGGGGAGUACGGCCGCAAGGCUAAAACUCAAAGGAAUUGACGGGGGCCCGCACAAGCGGCGGAGCAUGCGGAUUAAUUCGAUGCAACGCGAAGAACCUUACCAAGGCUUGACAUAUAGAAGAACACUGCAGAGAUGCAGGACUCUUUGGACACUUCUAUACAGGUGGUGCAUGGUUGUCGUCAGCUCGUGUCGUGAGAUGUUCGGUUAAGUCCGGCAACGAGCGCAACCCUCGUCCUAUGUUGCCAGCACGUGAUGGUGGGAACUCAUGGGAUACUGCCGUGGUCAACACGGAGGAAGGUGGGGAUGACGUCAAAUCAUCAUGCCCCUUAUGUCUUGGGCUUCGCGCAUGCUACAAUGGCCGGUACAAAGGGCUGCGAUACCGUAAGGUGGAGCGAAUCCCAAAAAGCCGGUCUCAGUUCGGAUUGGGGU